AGGAAUAUAUCGGAAGAGAGUGGAAGAAGUCAACAAGGGAAGCUUUGGGAAUUUUCUUUUCUUUUCUUUUCUUUUCUUUUGAAAAAACUGUGUUUUGUCGGGUGAAAUAUAUAUAUUUCUUCAAUUGCAGCCUUGCAGCAAUGUUCUUCCGAGAAAUGGAGUGCACGAAAAGAUAAAAGUCGAAGGAACGUUGAUUUGAAAAGUUUAUACAAGGGCCAUUAUGGGAAUCAAAUUUUGGCAGGGCAUUUUGGAAAAUCAUAGGAAGA
rnacentral:lncRNA from 1 species